rnacentral:lncRNA from 1 species
GCGGGCUGUGAAGGUGGGCUCCUGACAUCUGGACGCCUGGUGGCCACAGCGCUUGCUCCCAGCUGGACAGCUGGGCAGGGGACUCACUCUGAGAGGGUCCCAGGCAAGGCCCUGAUGGAGGGGACAGGGAGGAGAUGUUCUUCGUCAUCGUCAUCGUCAUCUGAACCUUCUCCUUCUCCAGCUAGAGCUGCGCCAGGGCUGUGGGGUUGGAGGCCCAGACCCCCCACCCCUGCCCUGUUACAGGGAGGAGCAGGGGGGAGGGAGGCCGGAUCCCUAUGGAAGGAAAGAUCUCUUCCCAGGACACCGAGCGCUCUAACCCUGAAAGCCCCAGGAAGUUUUCUGAAGGUCUCCGGUGGUCAUGGGAGGUGUCGUGUGAAGGAAGUUCCGACUGGAGAGUGAGCCGCGUUCUCCACUCUCCAGGGAGGACCCACCGCGGCUGCGUGAACAGAGGAGCUCCUGCU